ACAGUGGUGGUUCAGUGGUAGAAUUCUCAACUUCCAUGUGGGAGACCCAGGUUCAAUGCCUGGCCAGUGCA
rnacentral:tRNA from 1 species